GGGGAUCGCCCAACCUGGCACUGCCCCAGGUCCUGAUUCCUACGGCAGCCAGCAGUAUUUAUUCUUCCGCAAAGGAUGAAAGUCUGACGGAGCCACCGCCGGGUGAAUGAAGAACGCUUUCGGGUUACUAAAACUCUGUUGGUAAGGAAAGAACCAUUUUCUAGUUGAUUAAGCUGCCACCUUGACCGUACUUAACAGACAGCCACGGCUAAAUACGCCCCAGCAGCCGCGGUAAUACGUAGGUGGCAAGCGUUAUCGGGAAUUAUCGGGCAUAAAGCGCGCGCAGGUGGUUUCGUAAGUGUGAUGCGAGAGCUCACGUCUCAACCGUGGAGCGUCAUUGGAAACUGGGAGACUUGAGUGCAGAAGAGGAAAGUGGAAUUCCAUGUGUAGUGGUGAAAUGCGUAGAGAUAUGGAGGAACACCAGUGGCGAAGGCGACUUUCUGGUCUGUAACUGACACUGAGGCGUGAAAGCGUGGGGAGCAAACAGGAUUAGAUACCCUGGUAGUCCACGCCGUAAACGAUGAGUGCUAAGUGUUAGAGGGUUUCCGCCCUUUAGUGCUGAAGUUAACGCAUUAAGCACUCCGCCUGGGGAGUACGGCCGCAAGGCUGAAACUCAAAGGAAUUGACGGGGGCCCGCACAAGCGGUGGAGCAUGUGGUUUAAUUCGAAGCAACGCGAAGAACCUUACCAGGUCUUGACAUCCUCUGACAACCCUAGAGAUAGGGCUUCUCCUUCGGGAGCAGAGUGACAGGUGGUGCAUGGUUGUCGUCAGCUCGUGUCGUGAGAUGUUGGGUUAAGUCCCGCAACGAGCGCAACCCUUGAUCUUAGUUGCCAUCAUUAAGUUGGGCACUCUAAGGUGACUGCCGGUGACAAACCGGAGGAAGGUGGGGAUGACGUCAAAUCAUCAUGCCCCUUAUGACCUGGGCUACACACGUGCUACAAUGGACGGUACAAAGAGCUGCAAGACCGCGAGGUGGAGCUAAUCUCAUAAAACCGUUCUCAGUUCGGAUUGUAGGCUGCAACUCGCCUACAUGAAGCUGGAAUCGCUAGUAAUCGCGGAUCAGCAGCCGCGGAUCC
rnacentral:rRNA from 1 species